UUUAAUGAUUAUAACAAGCAAUAAAUGUAGUAAAAAAGACCAUUUCUCUACUCCACAUCAGAGACAGAAACCAGUUUUUGUUUUUUUUUAAAUUGUGACUAAAAAAACAAAAAAACAAUCAAUGAAUUAAGAGUACCGUCAUGGUCGAUGACUAAUUUUAGUCGUUAAGAAAAUUAAUUGAUUGUUCCAUCGAAAUAAAUUUCAUAAGCUUAAGAGACAUGAAAAAUACUUAAAACAAAACUCUAGAGUAACUUUAAUAUUUCGUU